UUGACCUCAAAUCGGGUGAGACUACCCGCUGAACUUAAGCAUAUCAAUAAGCGGAGGAAAAGAAACUAACAAGGAUUCCCCUAGUAACUGCGAGUGAAGCGGGAAAAGCUCAAAUUUAAAAUCUGAUGGUCUUUGGCCGUCCGAGUUGUAAUUUAGAGAA
rnacentral:rRNA from 1 species